GCAUAUCAAUAAGCGGAGGAAAAGAAACCAACAGGGAUUGCCCCAGUAACGGCGAAGUGAAGCGGCAACAGCUCAAAUUUGAAAUCUGGCUCUCGGGCCCGAGUUGUAAUUUGUAGAGGAUGCUUUUGGUGAGGUGCCUUCCGAGUUCCCUGGAACGGGACGCCAUAGAGGGUGAGAGCCCCGUCUGGUUGGACACCGAUCCUCUGUAAAGCUCCUUCGACGAGUCGAGUAGUUUGGGAAUGCUGCUCUAAAUGGGAGGUAUAUGUCUUCUAAAGCUAAAUACCGGCCAGAGACCGAUAGCGCACAAGUAGAGUGAUCGAAAGAUGAAAAGAACUUUGAAAAGAGAGUUAAACAGUACGUGAAAUUGUUGAAAGGGAAGCGCUUGUGACCAGACUUGGGCUUGGUUGAUCAUCCGGGGUUCUCCCCGGUGCACUCUUCCGGCCCAGGCCAGCAUCAGUUCGCCCUGGGGGACAAAGGCUUCGGGAAUGUGGCUCUCUCCGGGGAGUGUUAUAGCCCGUUGCGUAAUACCCUGUGGCGGACUGAGGUUCGCGCAUUCGCAAGGAUGCUGGCGUAAUGGUCAUCAGUGACCCGUCUUGAAACACGGACCAAGGAGUCGUCUUCGUAUGCGAGUGUUCGGGUGUCAAACCCCUACGCGAAAUGAAAGUGAACGCAGGUGAGAGCUUCGGCGCAUCAUCGACCGAUCCUGAUGUUAUCGGAUGGAUUUGAGUAAGAGCAUACGGGGCCGGACCCGAAAGAAGGUGAACUAUGCCUGUGUAGGGUGAAGCCAGAGGAAAACUCUGGUGGAGGCUCGCAGCGGUUCUGACGUGCAAAUCGAUCGUCAAACAUGGGCAUGGGGGCGAAAGACUAAUCGAACCUUCUAGUAGCUGGUUUCCGCCG
rnacentral:rRNA from 1 species